rnacentral:lncRNA from 10 species
CAGAGUGAAUUCUGGCAACACACUGAGUGAUGCUUGUCAAUGGCCACUAUCAGGAAUUUAAAACAAGGAUUUGGAAUUAUGACAUCUGGACAAACACAUAUGCAAAACCUACCUUUUGGUCCAUUCUCCAGGGCUUCUUCUGCAGCUUCUGGUUCCAGUUCUUUUUCGGAGCUGUCAGUGUGUGUUUUGGCCUGUCCAUUAACUGACAUCAUAUUACUUGGUACAGUUGCAUUCACUUUUGAUGAUGUAGGCAAGGAAGACCCAGCCACUACUACUUCCUGUUGUUUCUGUAAUGCUGCCUACAAACCAAGAGAAAGUGAAGACACACUGACCAGGAAGGCUAGCAAAUAAGACAUCUGCCCUGGAGUACAUCUGAUACCAUGCUUUUGCCCUACCAAAGUGCUAUGCUCAAGAAAUUACUAAUAAAUUUUUAUCAGUUUUUAUCCUGUCUAUAAUGAAUAUUAUUAGUACAAUAUCAAACUGACAGCUAAAAAUAAUAAAAAAUCAAUAAAAAUUAAUGUGGACAAAAACCUGCAA